GCGCUUGGAAUGGCCGUGAUACAACAAAAGCCCGUGUGUUGUGCCUGCCCGCACCGCCAGAGGCAGCGGUGCUAAAAUGUGGGAGUUACCCCGGAACGUACCGAAGACAUGUUCCAUGAGCUGGAAAUCACUCGGCUGUAAUCAUCUGAUUGGAGAUGAAAGAAAUAUACGAGUUCUCAGAAACAUUUUCUUGGAAGAAAAAGAGCAGGAAAGAAGAUAAGGGAAAUAAGGAAAUAGGGUGAGGGGACCGUGGCUCGAGUCAAGUGCAGUGCCCGAGAGCGCCGGGCUCCCGCGCUCCCGACGGCAGGGAGGGUCUGAGGACAGCUGGGCUCUGAACAGCUCCUACAUUCAAACGGAGGAGAUAACUCGCGUGCCAGCCCCGUGAGGAAUUGCAUAGGUUAGCUAAGGUCUUCCUGUCCUACCCGCUCUGAAAGCAGCAGAGAAAAAUGAAAUGGCUGUUCAGAAUUCCUCUGCCUCCAAUGUAGACAAUUUUCAGAAUGCAGCGCUCCAUAUGAGAGAGACACAUGAGUGCACACACAUACCCUAAAGCAGAGUUGCAACAUUUGCAUUUGUUUCCUGUCUUAAGCUCUCGCUGGGGACUAAAAAUCAAUGAGCCUGCAUUGCACCCCAGAAGUGUCUGCUUUUGACUGGCAGGGACUAGAGAAGAGCACUGCAGGACUGAUAGGAUGAAAGGGUGCCUGCUGACCCAUGGAAGACCAGCUGAAAUGGCUGAACUCUGCUUCCCAGUUUUGCACGAGCAAGAAAGGAAAUGUAGGUAGGUGUAGAAAACCUCACAGGGAGACAUGAAGUGAGGAAAUGUUAACUACAAGCAGUUUUUCUUCAGUGAGUGCAGGUUGAUUUCCAACAGCAGGCUGGAGUCAGUACAUAUGAAAACUUACACACUGUAAUUCUUGGAGUCUGCAGGCAUCAGCUACACCAAGCUCCAGUCUAACCCUAAUGACUUGGACAAGUCAUUGCAUACCUUGCAAGGAGCUGGACCAUGUUUCAAACCAGACUUUUUUUACUGAAAUUCAGGUUUCAGCAGUGGCGCAGCAUGGGUAGAGUAUAACACUGUUCUUGAACCAAUGGCUCAUACAAACUAAAUUUCCCUUAUCCCACUUCUACUUUUCCAGAGGCUGGCUUUGACUCUUAAGAGUAAUGACACAUGAAUUGUAGACUAAAAGGAGACUGUGCCAACCAAAUUUGUAUAGAAAGAUCACCUUUAACAACAAAUUAGUUAGCUGAUGUAUUAAAACCUGUUAACUUUUUUAAUACAGUGAGCUGACCUGCUCUUUAGCUGUUCCAAAUGGCAAAAAAUGUGACAUUUGAAGAACUGUUGCCUUUCAUUGGAAUGGUAGCUAACAUGAUGCUAACUUCGUGACAUGCUUUAGCAUGUUGAAGUUUCUCUAAAAAUAAUUUUAGUAGAGAAAUUUAAUUAACUUUACUCAGUGCUGAAAAAAAUCCUAAAAUCUGCCCUUGGAACAGAUUCCUUUAUUAAAAACAAGACAGAGCCCCACACAGUCACAUUAUAAUCCAUUUAUUAACAUACCUUGUGAGCCAUUGGUGUUGAUCCAGGGGACAUGACAGCUUUGGCACUGGACUGAUUUCAGAGGUAUUCAGCCCUUAGUAGAAAAGGAUUUUAGUAGGACUUGGGUGGGCUACUACACAAAGAAGUUUCUGAUGUGGAAAAUUAAGUAUUUUUCCAAACAACUGAAAACACAGCCCAGGAGAUGUGCAUUAGUCCAGGUCACAGUGCCUUGUUCUACAAGGAGUAGUUCCAACUUAGUUAUCACCAGAGGUGAUUGUGUUCUCUAUAGCUGUAAGAAAUUCCCAGUGAGUCUAUCAAGAUAGUGUUAAAUACCACAGUGUAGUUUCAUCUCUCCAAAGUUCUCAUCUGAUUGCUGAAUAUACACAUAAAAAUCUGUCUUCAAGUGGUUGAUGAAUCACUGCAGCUCUUUUGAGGUGAAGAGACUUCAGGAUACAGGCUCCAGGAAGAAAGGAAGACAGACAAAAGGCAGAUCUACCCCUGAAAGAGCAAAUACCUAUUUUCCUGGUUCCUCACCAGUGUCUCCACUCAUACCUUUGAGAAACUGAUCUGUUAAUUUCUGCUAUAAAUUUACAGAGAUUACAAGGAUAAUUGACAUCCUGUCCAGGUUAAUAAACAGCUGCCUGAUUAAUUAUAGCAUAGAACAUAAUUCACAGAAAUCAUCAGAACAGUGUUCAGCCACAAAAAAGUGAUAAAUAUUUAAUCCAACUUCAGGUGGCCAAAAAUGUGAACAGGUUUGGGAUAGUACCACUGCAGGCACUGCAGAUCAGGAACACCCCAGCACUGAGGCAGCCUUUGGAGCACUGGGACAUUCUCUGGAAGAGGGAUAGGAGCUGCUCCUUAGAUCCUUACCAUAGCCAUGUUUCUCCUCCUGCCAAUGCUCCUAGCCACUCACAGUGAUGUUCCCUUUUCUCACACAACCAUGAUGCGCCACUGUGCUAUGGAAAGUUCUCUCAGAGCAUGCAUGGCAGAGUGCAGCCACCAGCAGCACUGACUGAGCUCUCAGCUCCUGGAACCAGUGCACAUGCAUUAGCCUUAUCCAGGACUAAUGCUGUGAAGGUGGAUUGUCUCAGACCUCCUCAUAUGUCAGCACAGGCAAAGGUCUACACAGCUUUCCAGGUGCUCCCUGCCCAGAGCUCCACAGACAGACCUACAGCAAUUUCUGUGAGCUCAGUGGGACUGCUGCACCUACCUGAGACACAGGGGGAACUGACCUCAGCGGUUUUUCAUCCUCUUGUAGCAAGGCUGCCACCAAGACCACACCAGCAAGUUUAAAACUAGCUCCAGCAUACAGACACAGCACUGAAAUCACUUACAGAAUUGCCUGCUAUAGAAAAUUGUACUCAAAUAAUCAGCAGGGGAUACAGCCUCCCCUGGCAAAUUGUAUUCAGUUGUUUACCAAAAUUUAAAGAUCCAUCAGAAAGAGAAGACACAGAGAAAGACUCAGCAUGUUAUCAGAUACCCAGACAGUUUGGAUUGAAGAGAGACAGAGAAGCCACAGUCUUGGAAAAGGAACUAUCUCUAGAAUAAUGCGUAACAGAGGAUAUAAAGCCAGGCCCCUUAUUUCCUCUCAUGGCUGAGAACACAAGGACAGAUGGUAUUCAAUGAAAACAAAAGGCAAUUAAUUCAGAAACCAUAAAAAGAAAUUAUGUGCUAUGGAGAAUAAAAUUAUAAUGUUUUCAUUGCCAGAAAGUACUGAGUUUGAGAGCUUAGAUUAAAACCAAAAACAUUAACCAUUUAUAUGGAAGAUGAAGGCUGGUUACAUUAAAUAGUUUUUAAAAGUUAGGGAUAUAAACUAUUAUGCUUUAGGAAAAAAAAAAAAGAAUGACAAAAGGAUAGUGCACAGUGUUUGUACAACACCUAGAGGAUCAAGUAUUUGUACUUCAUUUUUAAUGACGAUAAUAGUAAUGCAAGUAAUUAAUUUAAAUGGGUCAAAAACAAAAUUCCCCAAAAGGAAAGGUUGCUAAAACUUGUUCAGUACAACUCACACAUGCUAUCUUUUGAAACAUCUGCUGCUGUCCAACUUUACAAAAUACAGUCCUAGGGUGACUGAGUGCUGCCCAUCCAACUAGGCAGUUCCAGUGGCACAGCCUAAGUGGCAAAGCACAUGAGUUUGGUUUGGGCCACAGCCCCAGGUUAAACAGUGAAGAGCAACAGCUGUAUCCAGAAACAGGCCAGCUCAACCUAGGAGAGUACUGACAGGCUUGCCUACAGCACCAGGAAGAUAUAAAAGCAGGCAAAGGAGAUUGGAUACUUCCUUCCUUCCUCCUGGCUCAUGCAGGACUGGAAGGGUUUUAAUUAUAGGGACUCUCACAGCUUUCAUAGUGACAAGAUCUAGGAGAAAGAAAUAUUUUUAACUAGAACAUGGGCAUUUCAGAAGACAAUGCUAGGCCUGCAUCUAAGUUGUGUUACAUGGUAAUUUAUGCUAACUCCUGAAUGGCCACUCGCUAAGUAAGCUUAGGGAAAUAUCCUCACAGUGUCAUCCUUUGGGUGUUUCUAUGCCUGUUGGGGUUAUGGGUAUAAACUGAAA